AACAAAAACAUGUCUUUUUGAAUUAAAUUUAAAGUCUAACCUGCCCACUGAAAUUUUUAAAUGGCCGCAGUAUUCUAACUGUGCAAAGGUAGCAUAAUCAUUAGUCUUUUAAUUGAAGGCUGGAAUGAAUGGUUGGACGAGAUAUUAACUGUUUCAUUUGAAUUUUUAUAGAAUUUUAUUUUUUAGUCAAAAAGCUAAAAUUUAUUUAAAAGACGAGAAGACCCUAUAAAUCUUUAUAUUUUGUUUAUUUUAAUUAUAAAGAUUAUUUUUAUUAUAAUAAAUUAAAAUAUUUUAUUGGGGUGAUAUUAAAAUUUAAAAAACUUUUAAUUUUAAAAACCAUUAAUUUAUGUGUAAUUGAUCCAUUAAUAAUGAUUAAAAAUUUAAGUUACUUUAGGGAUAACAGCGUAAUUUUUUUGGAGAGUUCAUAUCGAUAAAAAAGAUUGCGACCUCGAUGUUGGAUUAAGAUAUAAUUUUGGGUGUAGCCGUUCAAAUUUUAAGUCUGUUCGACUUUUAAAUUCUUACGUGAUCUGAGUUCCAAACCGGA
rnacentral:rRNA from 1 species